rnacentral:lncRNA from 1 species
CAGAGGUUGGGUGAGAACGGGACCUUUUGCAUCAUUAUCAAGAAGUUGUUUUUAAGGACAAAGAAAAGGCGAAAGAAAUCAGUCGAGUGAGCAUCUCCGAUAUGCAAGAGCUGUAGUGCGCCGUUCGUCACAAACUGCAUUCUUCGUCGCAUUGCUAGUUUUAAAUCAUGGUAAACUUUGGCGUCGUGCUGCUGUUGAGUGUUGUAUGGCUGACCGCUGGUUCAGCCAUGGUGUACCAAUGUCUCCUGGGUAUGGCGGAUAAGAAAUCGCACCGCCGCUACCUUACUAUACAAUAUACGACACGGCCAGUUGCUACAACAAGGCCCCCAAGUACUACACCACUAAAGCUCCAGAUUAUUAUACCACAACUUAUGCUGCCCUGAGCUACUUCACCGAAGCCCUAAGUAUUAUUCUUCCCCGAGCUACAGUACCAGAGGUUCGAGUACUACACCGAUUCUCCGAAGUACUAUACUACCAAGGCACCGGAGUACUGCACAACUACACAUGGUUGUUAAAAGAUAGAAAAGGUGAAAGAAAUCAGUCGAGUGGUCAUCUCUGACACGACAACAGCAACUGCAGUGCCAAGGAUCAGUAUUACACCACAACUUAUGUUGCCCCGAGAUACUACACCAAAGCGCCUGAGUGCUAUAUCGAGGCCACUUAUUACUACACCACUAAGACAUCGGAUUAAUACACUGCAACAUGCGCUGCCCCAGCUUAUUACACCGAGGCUCCCCAACACUACACCCCCAAGGCACCGGAGUGCUACACCACUACAUAUCAUGGUCGUAUGAAAGGAGAGAAAAGGUGAAAGAAUUCAGCAGCUGAGUGAGCAUCUCCGCUACAGCAACAGGAACUGCCGUGCACUAGUUGUCAUCAACUUCAUUCUUCGUCGCGUUACAAGUGUUAAAUCAAGUUAUAACUAUGGCGUCGUGCUGCUGUUGGGUGUAGUAUAGUCGAUGGCUGGGUCGACCACUGGUGUACCGAUGUCUCCUGGGUAUUGCGGGUACCAAAGCACAACACUGCCGUGCCGUCUUACUAUUUAGCAUCAACUUCCGCUGCUCCAGCUUACUACGCUGUGACUCAAGUGCACCACCAAGGCUCCAGAGUAUUACGCCACAGCUCAUGUUGCCCCGAGCUACUACACUGAAUGCCCGAAGUAUUAUUCUUCCCGGAGUAUGGCUACCUUCACCACGCCGCCUCCUUACUAGCCAACAACGUCAACACCUUCUUACUAUACAAAGACCUCAACUACUAUACCGAGGAUCUAACUUGUUACACCACCGAAAUUCUCAAGUACUGCACUACAACCUACGUUUCCCCAGCUAACACCACGAAGGCAGCGGAGUACUACACCACGAAGGCAGCGGAGUACUACACCACGAAGGCAGCGGAGUACUACACCACGAAGGCAGCGGAGUACUACACCACGAAGGUAGUCGGUUUACUUCACUACAACUUACGCUGCUCCAGAGUACUACACUACAACCUACGCUGCUCCAGAGUACUACACUGAUGUUCCAAAGUACUACAACACUAAAGGCACCCGAGUUUUACAUCACUACUUUCGUUACUACCACAUACUACACCGAAGCUUCGAAAGCACUUCUCUGCCCCGAGUUACUACACGACUAACGCAGCCGAAUGACACCCCAAACUACGAUUCCGUAAAUUUCUACAAGGAAAUUCCUUAUUACUAGAGACGAAAUUUCUACUCAAGGUUAUUUACAUUUAUCGGUUAUUUUCAUGGUAAUUGGUCGCUGGGAAUUAAUUGUUGAUCUUAAAUGAAAAAAUAAAAUUUUUAAUAGGGUAA